UACGUAGGGGGCAAGCGUUGUCCGGAGUUACUGGGCGUAAAGCGCACGCAGGCGGUCUCUUAAGUUUGGAGUGACAGUUGGUGGCUUAACUGCCAAAGUGCUUCGAAACUGAGAGACUUGAGGGCUUCAGAGGGACGACGGAAUUCCGGGUGGAGUGGUGAAAUGCGUAGAGAUCCGGAGGAACACCAAAGGCGAAGGCAGUGUCCUGGGGAGUACCUGACGCUCAGGUGCGAAAGCCAGGGGAGCGAACGGG
rnacentral:rRNA from 1 species